UGAGCAUUUGAAGCACCAAGCACCGCAUAGGUGUUAAAUUUGUUUUGAUUGAACUGCGCAAACUCCGGAAACGUCAAACGUCAAUCGAAGCAGCGCUGCUUCAGUCGCUGCGUCUGCCGCUGCCACUGCCACUGCCGGUGCCGCUGCCUUUGCCUUUGCCAAUGAAUGCUCACUCGAACGUUUUCCCGUUAGACAAGUCUUCAGUUAUUUAGCGGCUUUUGUGCGCAACGCAACUGAACGGAACGACGUGUUGCCGAAACGUUGAGCGUAACGAGCAACGCGUUUAACCACGUUGAUUCUAUAAACAAGCGUGUACACCGCAUCACAGUGAAAACACAAUUCAAGCAUAA